rnacentral:lncRNA from 1 species
ACCCUAAACUCAGAAGUAAUGAUCCCGUCGUCACUAUUUUUCUAUUCCCUGGAACAGAAAUACGUCCCUCCCGCACUCAGGGCUGGGGCCACGCCAGGGCGUGGUCCCCAGAGUGAGGAUUCUUUGGGGCUUGGAGGCUGCCCACCGGCCGCUCCCGUGAGGACCUUUGGAGAGUGGGAUGAGGGGUCUCCAGACGCGGAUCCAGAACGUCCCCCUGACGCUUCACUGCCACCCUGUGAGCAAGAAGAUGCUGUGAGAACACUCCGUCUUGCAUACGGGUGCAAACAAAAAGAACAAGCGCCGCCGUGAGCUGGAAGGAUCCGGGACCUUGGGAGAGAGGCCUGGAGGAGACCCUGGUGCUGCCGCUCACAGCCGCAUCCCUCUGCCGCUCUGGCCCUGUGCCCCUGCCACAAAGCAGUUCAUUCAUUUACCAGAUGUUUAUGGGAGCCCACUGUGUGCCGCGCACGGCUCUAGGUUCUGGAGAAACGAGAGUGAACGGAGCCACGUAGGAGUUUGCAGCCUGAAGGGAGCCAGACAGUGCACAUCAACAGAACAUGCCAGGCGUGCCCUCGCGGCGGAGCAGGUUGUGGAUCCAGCAUUGUCUCUGUAGUGGUUCGGGUCCCUGCUGUGGCAUGGUUUCCAUCCUUGGUCCAAGAGCUGCUGCGUGCUGCGGGCACAGCCAAAAGGGAAAAUUCAAUUCAAUUCAAUGGCAACAAUAAAAUAAAAUAUGCUGGCUGGUGACUUGUGCAAGGAAAGAGUAGAAAGCUGGGUGGAGGGUGGCUUAUUUCCACAGGGUGGUCAGGGAGCUCCCGUAGUGGCACAGCAGAAACAAAUCUGACUAGCAUCAUGUGGACGCAGGUUCAAUCCCUGGCCUUGCUCAAGGGGGUUAAGGAUCUGGCAUUGCCAUGAGCUGUGGUGUGGGCCACAGACAUAGCUCGGAUCUGGCAUUGCUGUGGCUGUGGUGCAGGCCGGCAACUACAGCUCCAGUUGGACUCCGAGCCUGGGAACCUCCGUAUGCCUCGAGUGCAGCCCUAAAAAGAUCAAAAGGGGGUGGGUGGCGGUGGGAUCUGAAGGAAGUGAAGAGUGAGCCAAGGGGGUCUCUAAGGGAAGAACGUUCCUGGCCCAGAGGACCGCAGGUACCAAGGCCCUGAGGUCUUUGUGCCCCAGUUUAUUGGAGGACCAGCAGGAAGCCUCAUGGGACUAGACUGCAAGACAGAGUCCAAGAGGUGGCUGGGGGCCUGCUUGGACAGGGCCUUGUAGACGCUGGGAAGUAAGGCUGGAGCCACUGGAGGGAAGGACAAGA